AUUGAACGCUGGCGGCAGGCUUAACACAUGCAAGUCGAGCGGGGGAGGUUGCUUCGGUAACUGACCUAGCGGCGGACGGGUGAGUAAUGCUUAGGAAUCUGCCUAUUAGUGGGGGACAACAUUCCGAAAGGAAUGCUAAUACCGCAUACGCCCUACGGGGGAAAGCAGGGGAUCUUCGGACCUUGCGCUAAUAGAUGAGCCUAAGUCGGAUUAGCUAGUUGGUGGGGUAAAGGCCUACCAAGGCGACGAUCUGUAGCGGGUCUGAGAGGAUGAUCCGCCACACGUGGACUGAGACCAGGCCCAGACUCCUACGGGAGGCAGCAGGGUGGAAUAUUGGACAAUGGGCGGAAGCCUGAUCCAGCCAUGCCGCGUGUGUGAAGAAGGCCUUUUGGUUGUAAAGCACUUUAAGCGAGGAGGAGGCUCUUAAGGUUAAUACCCUUGAUGAGUGGACGUUACUCGCAGAAUAAGCACCGGCUAACUCUGUGCCAGCCGCCGCGGUAACAC
rnacentral:rRNA from 1 species